GAAAACUUAAGAACUUUUCACUCCACACUUGCCCACACGUUUUUGCCUCCAAGCUUUCAAGCUUUCAAGUGCUCAAGUGUCCUAGCUUUCCAAAGCUUCAAAAGCUCUCCAACUUCUUCUUCUAAUCUUCUUGUUCAUCUUUACAAGUAAGAAGUGUUGUUUGCUUUAAUAUUCCAUUCUUCUAAUCACCUCUUGUGUGUGUCCACUUUGGUUGAGAGGGUUGUCUCAAUAGUACCAAAGUGUGAGAGAAGGUUUUUGAGCUCAACCAUAAAGCUCUAAUUUGGUUUUAUAGAGUUUCCGGGAAAACUCUUAGGUCGAGUCUACCUUUAAAGAUUUCAGAGGUUUUUAAGAGUUCCUUGAUACUCUAAGGUACUAACUUACCCGUAAAAGUUAGAGGUUCUUAAGAGUGCCCUUGAUACUCUAAGGUGUGAGUCUACCCGUAAAAGACUGGUUCCUAAGCGAAGUAGCCUUAAAGCUUAGAGAGAUUUUUAAGAGUUCCUUGAUACUCUAAGGUACUAACUUACCCGUAAAAGUUAGAGGUUCUUAAGAGUGCCCUUGAUACUCUAAGGUGUGAGUCUACCCGUAAAAGACUGGUUCCUAAGCGAAGUAGCCUUAAAGCUUAGAGAGGUUCUUAAGAGUUUCCUUGAUACUCUAAGGUUUUGUCAUAACCUUUAGGCGAGUGAAUUCCGGCAGUUGGUCGGGACUGGACUAGCCCUUGUUUGGGUGAACCAGUAUAAAUCUCUUGUGUUGUUCUCUGUUAAUUAUAGUUUUAUCUUUUAUCUAAAACAACUAAAUCAACACUUAAUUAAAAAGGAUCCCUCUUCCAGUUAUCUGGUCAAAUACAAAGGUUGACUACUUUACGCAGAUCCCUCAUCCAGUUAUCUGGUCAACUAUCUGAGGUUAUAUUCAUUGUUUUAAAUCCUUAUAUUUGUUCAAGCAUUUACUUAUCAUAUAUAUCCAGUUAUCUGGUCAUUUACUUGCUUAUCAAUAUAUCCAGUUAUCUGGUCAUUUACUUGCUUAUAAAUAUAUCCAGUUAUCUGGUCAUUUACUCUACAAUACAAUUUGUGUUUAUAAUAUAACUUAAUAUUCAUAUACUAUAGUUGUGUGUAAAACACUAUCAAGCGAGUUGACUCAGUAUUCAUAUACUGUGGUAAGCUUCGAAGAGUAAUAAUUACAUUAUUAUAUCAAUCAAAGUUAUAAUAUCUUUAUAUCAUUAUUGUUCAACCAUUUGUUUAUUAAGCGUUUACAGGUAAUUCCGCAAUCAACCUGUAUAAAUCGAAAAGAGGCUAUUAUCCCCUCUUAUAGCCUCGGAUCACGAUC
rnacentral:lncRNA from 1 species